rnacentral:rRNA from 1 species
GACGAACCGUCCAAACGUUAUUCGGUAUCACUGGGCUUAAAGCGUGCGUAGGCGGCUUGGUAGGUGAGAUGUGAAAGCCCACGGCUCAACCGUGGAAUUGCGUUUCAAACCACCAGGCUUGAGGAUGGCAGGGGUGAUGGGAACUGAUGGUGGAGCGGUGAAAUGCGUUGAUAUCAUCAGGAACACCGGUGGCGAAGGCG